rnacentral:rRNA from 1 species
CCGCUAAUACCCCAUAUGCCGAGAGGUGAAAUGAAAUUCGCCUGAGGAUGAGCUCGCGUCUGAUUAGCUAGUUGGUAGGGUAAAGGCCUACCAAGGCAUUGAUCAGUAGCUGGUCUGAGAGGAUGAUCAGCCACACUGGGACUGAGACACGGCCCAGACUCCUACGGGAGGCAGCAGUGGGGAAUUUUCCGCAAUGGGCGCAAGCCUGACGGAGCAACGCCGCGUGAGGGAUGAAGGCCUCUGGGCUGUAAACCUCUUUUAUCAAGGAAGAAGAACUGACGGUACUUGAUGAAUAASCCACGGCUAAUUCCGUGCCGGCAGCCGCGGUAAUACGGGAGUGGCAAGCGUUAUCCGGAAUUAUUGGGCGUAAAGCGUCCGCAGGCGGUUUUACAAGUCUGUCGUUAAAGCGAGGAGCUCAACUCCAUUUCASCGAUGGAAACUGUAAGACUCGAGUGUGGUAGGGGCAGAGGGAAUUCCCGGUGUAGCGGUGAAAUGCGUAAAUAUCGGGAAGAACACCAGUGGCGAAAGCGCUCUGCUGGGCCAUAACUGACGCUCAUGGACGAAAGCCAGGGGAGCGAAAGGGAUUAGAUACCCCUGUAGUC